UACGAAGGGGGCUAGCGUUGCUCGGAAUCACUGGGCGUAAAGCGCACGUAGGCGGAUCUUUAAGUCAGGGGUGAAAUCCCCAGGCUCAACCUGGGAACUGCGUCUGAUACUGGAUGGCUUGAAUUCGGGAGAGGGAUGCAGAAUUCCAGGUGUAGCGGUGAAAUGCGUAGAUAUCUGGAGGAAUACCGGUGGCGAAGGCGGCAUCCUGGACCGACAUUGACGCUGAUGAGCGAAAGCUAGGGGAGCAAACGGG
rnacentral:rRNA from 1 species